rnacentral:rRNA from 1 species
GACGAACGCUGGCGGCGUGCUUAACACAUGCAAGUCGAACGGAGAUACUGGAGGAAGCUUGCGAAUCCGGUAUUUUAGUGGCGGACGGGUGAGUAACGCGUGGGUAACCUGCCCUAAGGACCGGGACAACAGUUGGAAACGACUGCUAAUACCGGAUGUGCUCGUCGGGAGACAUCUCCUGAUGAGGAAAGGUGGCCUCUGAAUAUGCUACCGCUUUAGGAUGGACCCGCGUCUGGAUUAGCUAGUUGGCGAGGUAACGGCGUCACCAAGGCGACGAUCAGUAGCCGGCCUGAGAGGGUGAUCGGACCACACUGGGACUGAGACACGGCCCAGACUCCUACGGGAGGCAG